GGGAGGGACCAGGCACACGUUACCUUACAGCAGGCAGUGUUGCUCUUCAGCGUUGAGAAAGCUGGUCAGCUUUUUAAGCUACUAUACAUUUCGACUCUUAAAAAUGAACAACACUGCCACAGUGCAUUAAGACUCUUGUGAAGUAAGUAUAAUUUCACCUGAUAACUGUGUACAAAAAGCAGACGAUAGAGUACACCCAAAGGCCACAAGGACAGGCCUCUCUUUCCCAGGGUGCAUAAAUAAAACCAUUAAUGAUGUUGACCUUUUAGGAUUUAAACUAAUAAAGAGAGAAUUAACAGUAUCAAUUCUUUGACACUCUGGCACACUGAGAACACAAUCAACAGGUGUCAGAUCUGAUUAAAACACUUAAAAAAACCAAAAAGGAGUAAUCCUGCUUCAAGCAUCAAACUUUUUGGUCAGACAGAACAGAUUAGAAAACAUGCACUAAGGUUCAAUGGAGUAUGCAUUUUAGUUUUGGGGAAAUUAAAAUGUUUAGUUAAUCUACACUUGCACAGGACUGCUCUCUUAUGCACAGUUCAACAACUUCCUGCUCAGCACUUGUCCUUAGAUAUUUCAUCAAGUCUGAUGGUACGUUUUACGUUUAAUUAAGCAAUUAAGGACCUUUUGGAAUAAGAUCCAAAAGUAAAACAGGUCCCCAGAGUGAGGUUGAGAAUCAAUCUCAUCCCACAUGGCUGUGCAGACUGCAGACAAUAAAGCUUUAAUGAUCUUAGGCACAUAACAGCAGAGCCUAAUCGAGUGCUAAUUGAAAAAACAAGAAAGAAAAUCUACUCCAGGAUAUAAUGCACAUGGUGCCCAAAAACCACGAGUUUGCUUUCAAAUCACUUCUGAUGCUGCUAUUCAUAAACCCUUAAACUCUUAAUUGUAAAUUGUUUGCUGCUGAACCCUAAAAAAAAAAAAUUCUUCACUACUACUGCCACGCCCCCUGCUUUCUGCCACAGCCCUCCCCAAGUUCAGUCACCCCUACUCUUUCUGGCACACUCCACUAUUCCUUCAGUUGGUUUUGCAUUUACUCUCCUGUUCCUAGAUCAUCAUUACACUCAUAAACUGUCUCAGACACGAACUAACUUAAAAUGCAGUACAAAAGCCCCUAGAACAGUGACUUCUAAGCCAAGUGGAGUAGAGAAAUCAUUUUAACUCCUAACUGCAUUCAUAUUCUGCAGUAAAAAAAAAGCUUCAUUUUCUCGUUAGAGGUAAAAAAAAUGUUCUGCUUUCUUAUUGAUUUUAUUUCAUCUUUUUUUCCUCCCUUGAUUCAUAGUGUCUCCUUACUAAACUGGUUACUUAGGAAUGCCUUCAUCGGUAGACUGACCAAGAUAGUCUUUCUCCUGGCACUGGAGUUCUGCAGAUACACAAUAUGUAAAUAAAAUCUAUCGGCUUUGCACUUUGGAAACCACUGCAAUAUUAAAAUGAGUUCUUUCUGGAGAACUCUGCUGUUGUAAAUCUUCAAUGCUAGGGAGCAGAGUAUCAGGGCCAGGAGCUGAGGUAACCAAUCUGACAAUUGAUAUCUUAAGCACCGUUGGUGUUGUACAGUAUUCCCCUAGAAUGCUCAUUUAUGUGUAUUAUAUUACAGAACAGUCUGUAUUUUUGUGUUAGAGAGAGAGAGCCAGAGUAUGCUGCUACGCUUCGUGUGUGUCAAAAUGCAGAGUUCUGCUUUUUGACAAAAAAAAAUGCAUGAAAAAAGACAGACCAGCAGAGUCUGAGGUAAACGGGAAAGCGAUUGGAUUGGAGUCACUUGUGCACAGGAAGUUUUGUUUUGCAUUUUGUGCAUAUAAUUGCACUAAGCACUAAUCAGCCAUGUAUUAUUACUGGGGCUGUUUCUUGAAAUCAGAUUACACUGUGCAUUUUGCAGCAAUGGUCUUUCUCAUUUUAAGCUUCAUUUAUUUUAGCUGAAUGCGUUCUGUGCAAUUCCAGAAAGGAAAAGGCAUUGCGUUGCAGAGCCGGCGAAUUGUAACAUCAGUCUUCGUUUUCUGAGCAUUAAUGAGAAGUAAUGACAGAAGGCUUUAUCAGUGAUAAUCCUACAGCAGCCUCUCUGUCUGAGCUGCACCGAGAAGGCGGCGAAGGAGCUCACAGGCAGUGCACCACGGUCCGCCCAUCCCCUCCGUCGUACUGCUCCUGCCACUUGGCGAGGCGCCGGACCAGCUGCAGGAUGGAGCGCUUGGACAGCGGCGUGUCGCGCCAGACACCGAGCUGGCUUCUGCACAGAUAAAGGGGGCCAGAACCAGCUACCCAGCCACUCAGAAAGCAGCAGGGAUCUGCAGUUACUUACCCGGGCCAUGUUGCAGAUCCUGAAGAUCCUGUUGAUGACGUCGUCGUC